CACAGUCAACAGCACUGUCAGUCUAACUGUAAAAAAACAUGGCAACAGCACUGUUGAAUGUGUCAGCAACAAUGGAAAUGGAGAAGAAAGAGAAAACCUGCUGGUCCAAAAAAAACAUGUCUGGCGAGGCGGGAGCGGCUAGCAGGUCCAGCAGGCAUGUGGUGUGGAGGUUAGCUGAAAUACCCGAAGCCAGUCGGUUAAAUCCAAUAACAGACCUUUAUUUGGUGUCAGCAACAAUACACCAUACAAGCCAGGUCUCCACGGCUCCACUCUGUCCGUACAUACAUGUGCGGGGAUCGGUAGUCGCAGGCGCCAGGCCGUUACAACGGUAAGGUUUCUUAGAGAGAAGGAACAUGAGCAGCAUGAAAAUGGAUGCCGCUAACAACACACACCCACUAGGAGACUCCCACAACUACUACAAUAGUAGGGCAACCCCCCCUAGUGGUGCUAUAACCCAAAAGGGUUGUUACAAUAUAAUUCAGAAACC
ensembl:lncRNA